rnacentral:rRNA from 1 species
GAUGAACGCUAGCUACAGGCUUAACACAUGCAAGUCGAGGGGCAGCGGGAUUGAAGCUUGCUUCAAUUGCCGGCGACCGGCGCACGGGUGAGUAACGCGUAUCCAACCUUCCGUACACUCAGGGAUAGCCUUUCGAAAGAAAGAUUAAUACCUGAUGGUAUGAUGAGAUUGCAUGAUAUCAUCAUUAAAGAUUUAUCGGUGUACGAUGGGGAUGCGCUCCAUUAGGUAGUAGGCGGGGUAACGGCCCACCUAGCCAACGAUGGAUAGGGGUUCUGAGAGGAAGGUCCCCCACAUUGGAACUGAGACACGGUCCAAACUCCUACGGGAGGCAGCAGUGAGGAAUAUUGGUCAAUGGACGAGAGUCUGAACCAGCCAAGUAGCGUGAAGGAUGAAGGUCCUACGGAUUGUAAACUUCUUUUAGAAGGGAAUAAACCCUCCCACGUGUGGGAGCUUGUAUGUACCUUAUGAAUAAGCAUCGGCUAACUCCGUG